CCCCGCCGCCGGCAGUUUCAUCUCCGCCACCUACAUCAACAUCACCACCUCCAGCUGUAUCAGCUCCACCACAAGCUACACCUCCACCGGCAGCUACUCCUCCUCCAGUGAGUGCUCCACCACCGGCUAGUCCUCCACCACCAGUUAGCUCUCCACCACCGGCUACUCCUCCACCUGUGGCUACCCCACCACCUCCUGCCACUCCACCUCCCAGCCCACCUCCGCCUGCUGCUGCACCUGCACCAGUUGCAACUCCGCCAGAUUCGACUCCGGCUGCUGCACCUACGACUGUAGCCACAUCUCCG
rnacentral:lncRNA from 1 species